CAACUAAACUAAGAGCUUUUUGCUGCUUUCUCCUUCUUUGUUAUGAGGUUCUGCUGAUGAUAGACUUCCAGGAGGAGAAUACUUCCUAUUUUGUAGUCGUAACUCGUAGGUAGAGUAUAUCCAUCAUAAAAAUGAUUAACAUUAACCCUUAUAGGUUACUGGUUACUAUCUUCACCACUUGCUGCCUAUGUUCAGUUUGAGAGAGUAGGUCUACGGAAAUUGACCCUAAACGACAGGCUCGGCUUCUGAAACAAUCUCUGGUCGGUAUCGAUUGUUUAUAAUUUUAUAACCUAAGCGACUCUCGAUUGACACUCCCUGUAUUAUAGCAGACAACACUAGAUCUGAUACGGGUACUUACUUAAAACAAGGUAAAAACCACUACUAAAUUUGAAAAAUGAAGGCAUGUACGACUACGAAAGCACCAUGGUAAAAUCAACUUAGCAAUCACAUAAAACAAGAAAGCCCGAGAAAAGACCAAGUCACUAUAUAAAUGUCGCAAAGAAAAGAUUCCAGCGUAGAUGUCAUUGCCUUAUUUCUAUGACCAAUAAGCUAAGAGAGCUAA